UACGAAGGGGGCUAGCGUUGCUCGGAAUCACUGGGCGUAAAGCGCACGUAGGCGGCUUCUUAAGUCAGGGGUGAAAUCCUGGAGCUCAACUCCAGAACUGCCUUUGAUACUGGGAGGCUCGAGUCCGGGAGAGGUGAGUGGAACUGCGAGUGUAGAGGUGAAAUUCGUAGAUAUUCGCAAGAACACCAGUGGCGAAGGCGGCUCACUGGCCCGGUACUGACGCUGAGGCGCGAAAGCGUGGGGAGCAAACAGGG
rnacentral:rRNA from 1 species